AAUAGAUACCCCGGUAGUCCACGCCGUAAACGAUGGGCACUAGGUGUGGGGGGUGUCGACUCCCCCCGUGCCGACGCUAACGCAUUAAGUGCCCCGCCUGGGGAGUACGGCCGCAAGGCUAAAACUCAAAGGAAUUGACGGGAGCCCGCACAAGCAGCGGAGCAUGUGGUUUAAUUCGACGCAACGCGAAGAACCUUACCUGGGCUUGACAUGUGGGUGACCGCCGUGGAAACACGGCUUCCCUUCGGGGCACCCUCACAGGUGGUGCAUGGCUGUCGUCAGCUCGUGUCGUGAGAUGUUGGGUUAAGUCCCGCAACGAGCGCAACCCCCGUCGCAUGUUGCCAGCAUUUAGUUGGGGACUCAUGCGAGACUGCCGGUGACAAACCGGAGGAAGGCGGGGACGACGGUCAAGUCAUCAUGGCCUUUAUGUCCAGGGCUGCACACGUGCUACAAUGCGGCGUACAAAGGGACGCCAACUCGGCAAGAGGGAGCGAAUCCCAAAAAGCGCCGCUCAGUUCGGAUUGCAGG
rnacentral:rRNA from 1 species